CUCAAAACAAAGGGGAUUCUUUUAUGUUAGGGUUCCAAAAUUUUGAAUCCCAGCCUGAAGAAUCUGCAUCCCGACGGAGAAGAAGGAAUUGAAGGAAAUUGUUUAGGGUUUCAAAAUGAUCGAGACACUCGAUCGACCGCUUGUUCCUGAGGAGGGGGGGAUCUCGCCCCGACCAACUAUCCGACGUUGUUUCCCACCCUCCGACGACCAGCGGUCGCCCUGUUCAUUUCCAAUUCUGGCAUCCAACGGAUUUUGCGUUGAAGGAGAUCAACGGAGCAGUUCAAGAAAGCCUGUGGAAAUUUCCUUGCGUCCUCCAUUGGUGGAUCCAAACCCUGCGGUCUGGCUCAAUAGUAGCCUUCGGGGGAUAAUGUCUACCUUACCAAAGGUAUAUGCUUACUUUUCUCCCAUCAAAAUCGGUUGUUUUCUCUUUCUGUUUGUGAGUGUUUUCUCUGUUCAAGUGUUUAUGAAACCUGGCCGGUGUGGCCAGGGAAAAGGAAGAGAAUAUUAUGAAUUUCAUCGAAUGGCCCAUUCCAGCCCAUCAAAGGCCAUAGUUUGCUUCGCCGUUGUCCUGCGCUGGAUGGUAUGGUUUCCUGGUGAAUUUGGCAUCAUCGUUUGUGGUGGUUGUGGUGGACAUCAUAAGUCACAGUGAGGACAGUGAGGACCGCAAAGCCAUAUGAUGUCCUUUUGAAACUCAACUUUGGUGAAGGUUGCAGUUGUGUGUGUACACAAAUCAAGUUCACCGUUGAUUUUCAGAUGAUAUGUUUUACGGGGGACAAAACGAGAGAAGGAACGCGGAAUAUAGAAAUAUAUGAAAGUUGCCAAUAUUGCAUGCACCACAAUUUUUCCUUGGAGAUAGGCAUGGCGCUGUGCAUUGGCACUAAUGGUGGUUUGAAGAAGUCCAGCGGAGUCCCUUCCAACUAUGGGCAACAAAUCCAAGCCAUGCACAUAAGUGCUCAGCGCAGCUGGCUCCAUUUAGGGGAGGAUAAACAGUUGCUUCCCUACACUAUGUUCCUGGUUCAUGUAAAGCUCAUCAGGUGAAAUCUCAAGAGUUGGUAUCUAUCUAACUUUUGGGUGGGGCCAUGAAUGGGAAAUUUGUAUCCAUACUUUAUGCGGGUAGGAAAAUAUGAAAUUUGUAUAAAAUUUAUCUGUAGGUGACUUGACUGAAUUUGGUUUAGAUUAUCACUCCUGUUGUAUAGAAUUUCUCUCUUUCAAAUUGUUCAAAACUGCCGUUUCCCUUUGCUCUUGUUCAGUAAGUAGAAUACGUUUGGUGCCGUUUGAGGUUAUGAUUGUCCUUGUGUCGGGUAGUUGGGAGGGAGUGUGGUGGUUUGGUCUAUUGGUUGCUUUGGGCUGUGGAUUAUUGGCCUUGCUUAGUGUGCGAUUGUUUUGUAAUUGAAGUAGUGGUGUGCAAAAAAAAAUAAAAAAUAAAAAGGUGUUGUAAGUUUCUUUA